rfam:Neurospora crassa OR74A unplaced genomic scaffold supercont12.8, whole genome shotgun sequence.
UAACCUUGGAUUAGGUAGGAAUACCCACUAAAUUUAAAUAUAUUAAUAAGCGGAGGAAAAGAAAUUAAUAGGGAUUACCCUAGUAAUAGCGAAUAAAGUAGCAAUAAUUUAAAUUUAAAAUCUAACUUCAAUCUAAAUUGUAAUUUAUAAAAGAAGUUUUUAAUAAGGUACCUUUUAAAUCCCCUAGAACGGAGCGCUAUAGAGGGUAAGAACCCCGUAUAGUCGGAUGCCGAUCUAAUAUAAAGCUCCUUUAAUAAAUUAAAUAGUUUAAGAAUAUUAUUUAAAAUAGGAGGUAAAUUUCUUCUAAAGCUAAAUAUUAGCUAGAGACUAAUAGUAUAUAAGUAGAAUAAUUGAAAAAUAAAAAGUACUUUAAAAAGAGGGUUAAAUAGUACGUAAAAUUAUUAAAAGGGAAGCGUUUAUAAUUAAACUUACGCCGUUCUAAUUAUUUAAUAUUUUUAUUAGUAUAUUUGGGAUAGUUUAAACUAAUAUUAGUUUUAGUAGGGGGAUAAAGGUCCGGGGAAUAUAGCUCCUCUAAGAGUAUUAUAGCCCCGGGCGUAAUGCCCUCGCUAGGACCGAGGUUCGUGCAUUUGUAAGGAUACUAGUAUAAUAGUUAUUAAUAACUCGUUUUAAAAUACGGACUAAGGAAUUAAGGUUUUACGCGAGUAUUUAAGUAUAAAACCUGUAUAUAUAAUAAAAGUAAACGUAGGUAAGAACUUCGGCGUAUUAUCGACCGAUUCUAAUAUAUUUAAAUAGAUUUAAGUAAGAGCGUUAAGUUUUAGACUUGAAAGAUAGUAAAUUAUAUUUAGAUAGGGUAAAGCUAAAGGAAAUUCUAGUAGAGGCUUAUAGCGGUUCUAAUAUGUAAAUCGAUUAUUAAAUUUAAAUAUAGGGGUGAAAGAUUAAUCGAACUAUUUAGUAGUUAAUUACCGCCGAAGUUUCCUUUAGGAUAAUAGUAUUAUUCUUUAGUUUUAUAAAGUAAAGUGAAUAAUUAGGGACUCGGGGGCGCUUUUUAGCCUUUAUCUAUUUUCAAAUUUUAAAUAUAUAAGAAGCCUUUAUUAUUUAAUUGAACGUAGGUAUUUAAAUAUAUUAAUACUAGUAGGCUAUUUUUAGUAAGUAAAACUAGUGAUAUGAGAUAAAUCGAAUAUAGGGUUAAAGUGCUAGAGUAGACGUUCAUUAGAUACUAUAAAAAGUAUUAAUAUAUUUUAAUAGUAGGAUAGUAGCUAUAGAAGUUGGAAUCUGUUAAGGACUAUAUAAUAAUUUAUUUACUAAAUAUAUUAACCCUAAAAAUAAAUAGCGUUUAAACGUUCUACUUAUACUCCGCCCUUAGGAUAGAAAUAAUGCCCUAAGGAGUAGGCGGCUAUAGAGGUUAAUAACGAAGCUUAGGGUGUAAACCUAGGUCGAACGGCCUUUAAUAUAGAUUUUAGUAGUAGUAAUAAAUAUUUUAAUAAGAAUUUGAAGGACUAAAGUAGGGAAAGGUUCUAUAUAAAUAAUAGUUGGAUAUAGGUUAAUCGAUCCUAAAUUAUAGGGAAGUUCCGUUUUAAAGGGGUAUUUAUACCCCGUAUAGCAAAAGGGAAGCUAGUUAAUAUUUUAGUACCUAAAUAUAAGUUUUAUAUAGUAACGUAAUUAAAUAUAGAAACAAUAGCGGGAGCCCUAAAUAGAAUUCUCUUUUCUUCUUAAUAAUUUAUUACUUUAAAAAUAAUUUGUUUGGAGAUAGGGUUUAAUAGUUGGAAGAGCCCGAUAUUUCUAUUAGGUCCGGUACGUUUUUAAUAUCCCUUAAAAAUCCGUAGGAGGGAAUAAUUCUUAUAUUAAAUUAUACUUAUAACUAUAGUAAGUUUCUAAAGUGAAUAGUUUUUAGUUGAUAGAAUAAUAUAAAUAAGGGAAGUUAGUAAAAUAGAUCUAUAACUUCGGGAAAAGGAUUAACUUUAAGGGUUAGGUACGUUAGGCUUUAAGUAAACGCCUUAGGAGUAGAUCGCUACUAGCCGGGCAACCGGCUAAUAGUUUUUAAUAUCCGGGUGUAAAAGCCCUUAAUAGAUUUUAAUUAUCUAACGUAUAUUUAAUAAUUAAUUUAGAAUUAGUAUAAAUAAAAGGAAUUUAAUUAUUUAAUUAAAAUAUAGUAUUACAAUAGCUAGAAAGUAGUAUUAACGCAAUAUAAUUUCUAUUUAGUAUUUUAAAUAUUAAAGUAAAGAAAUUCAACUAAGUGCGGGUAAAUAGCGGGAAUAAUUAUAAUUCUCUUAAAAUAAUUAAAUACCUUAUUAUUUAAUUAGUAAUAUAUAUAAAUAGAUUAAUAAGAUUCCUACUAUCCUUAUCUACUAUCUAACGAAACUAUAGCUAAGGGAACGGACUUAGUAGAAUUAGCGGGGAAAGAAGACCCUAUUAAAUUUAAUUCUAAUUUAAUAUUAUAAAAAAAUAUAGGAGGUAUAGAAUAAGUAGGAGCUUCGGCGCCGGUAAAAUACUACUACUCCUAUUGUUUUUUUACUUAUUUAAUUAAGUAGGGCUAGAUUUUCGUCCAACUUCUAGUUUUAAGGUCCUUCGUAGGCCGACCCGGGUUAAAGAUAUUAUUAAGUAGAGAAUUUAAUUAGGGCGGUAUAUUUAUUAAACUAUAAUGUAAGUAUUUUAAGGGGGGCUUAUAAAGAAUAGAAAUUUUUAAUAGAAUAAAAAGGUAAAAGUCCCCUUAAUUUUAAUUUUUAAUAUAAAUACAAACUAUAAAAGUAUAGCCUAUCAAUCCUUUAAUCCCUCGAAAUUUAAAGCUAGAGGUACUAAAAAAGUUAUUAUAAGGAUAAUUAGUUUGUAGCGGCUAAGCGUUUAUAGCGAUGUUGCUUUUUAAUUUUUUAAUAUUAGUUCUUCCUAUUAUACCGAAGUAGAAUUUAGUAAACGUUAAAUUAUUUACUUACUAAUAGGGAAUGUAAGCUAGGUUUAGACCGUUGUAAAACAGGUUAGUUUUACCCUACUAAUAACCUUAUUAUAAUAAUAAUUAAAUUUAGUAUAAAAAGAACUAUUUAUUUAAAUAAUUAGUUUUUAUAAUUAUUCGACUGGGUAGUACCGUAAUACUACUAUUUAUUAAAUAAUAAUUAAAUACUUUUAAGUUAAAAUUUAUAUUAGAAUGUAAUAAUACUUCUAGUAUGUUAUAAAUGUAUAAAAAUAGGCUCCGGCCUCGUAUUUUAAUAGGCGAUUUCUUUAUUAGCCUUAAAGUAGCUAGUGGUAAUUCGUGUAUUGUAAUUUUAAUACGUACUGGAUCAAAUUCUUUAUAGACGAUUUAGAUAUGUGAAAGGGUCCUAUAAAUAAUAGAAUAGCCUUAUUAUUAUAAUUUACUAAGAGUAAGCCCUCCUUCGUUUAAAUUUCC